rnacentral:lncRNA from 1 species
GGUUAGGCUAGCUACAGUACAUUAGGGUUAGCUAGCUACAGUACAUUAGGGUUAGGCUAGCUACAGUACAUUAGGGUUAGGCUAGCUAGCUACAGUACAUUAGGGUUAGGCUAGCUAGCUACAGUACAUUAGGGUUAGGCUAGCUAGCUACAGUACAUUAGGGUCAGGGUUAGCUAGCUACAGUACAUUAGGGUUAGGGUUAGCUAGCUACAGUACAUUAGGGUUAGCUAGCUACAGUACAUUAGGGUUAGGGCUAGCUAGCUACAGUACAUUAGGGUUAGGGCUAGCUAGCUACAGUACAUUAGGGUUAGGGCUAGCUAGCUACAGUUCAUUAGGGUUAGCUAGCUACAGUACAUUAGGGCUAGCUAGCUACAGUACAUUAGGGUCAGGGUUAGCUAGCUACAGUACAUUAGGGUUAGGGCUAGCUAGCUACAGAACAUUAGGGUUAGGGUUAGCUAGCUACAGUACAUUAGGGUUAGCUAGCUACAGUACAUUAGGGUUAGGGCUAGCUAGCUACAGUACAUUAGGGUUAGGGCUAGCUAGCUACAGUACAUUAGAGAAGCUCACCAUUCAUUGUAUUCACGGCGGCAUUUUCUGAGCUUAACUGACCAAGACGCACCUCCAAAUGCCCGAAACCAGUGACAGUUUCUUUCAACCAGUGGCACAUUGGCUUUUUAGGUGAGCGUUGAUACCGCUUUGUGAUAAUAAUGUCCACUCCUCUCCAGAGUAUUGUUCUAGACGUAACGCUGCCGCGCUCCUCUCGAGAGUAUUGUUCUAGACGUAACGCUGCCGUGCUCCUCUCCAGAGUAUUGUUCUAGACGUAACGCUGCAGCGCUCCUCUCCAGAGUAUUGUUCUAGACGUAUCGCUGCCGCGCUCCUCUCCAGAGUAUUGUUCUAGACGUAACGCUGCAGCGCUCCUCUCCAGAGUAUUGUUCUAGACGUAACGCUGCCGCGCUCCUCUCCAGAGUAUUGUUGGAGGCGUAACGCUGCCGCGCUCCUCUCCAGAGUAUUGUUCUAGACGUAACGCCGCCGCGCUCCUCUCCAGAGUAUUGUUGGAGGCGUAACGCUGCAGCGCUCCUCUCCAGAGUAUUGUUGGAGGCGUAACGCUGCCGCGCUCCUCUCCAGAGUAUUGUUCUAGACGUAACGCUGCCGCGCUCCUCUCCAGAGUAUUGUUGGAGGCGUAACGCUGCCGCGCUCCUCUCCAGAGUAUUGUUGGAGGCGUAACGCUGCAGCGCUCCUCUCCAGAGUAUUGUUCUAGACGUAACGCUGCAGCGCUCCUCUCCAGAGUAUUGUUGGAGACGUAACGCUGCAGCGCUCCUCUCCAGAGUAUUGUUGGAGGCGUAACGCUGCCGCGCUCCUCUCCAGAGUAUUGUUGGAGGCGUAACGCCGCCGCGCUCCUCUCCAGAGUAUUGUUCUAGACUUAACGCUGCCGCGCUCCUCUCCAGAGUAUUGUUGGAGACGUAACGCUGCCGCGCUCCUCUCCAGAGUAUUGUUGGAGGCGUAACGCCGCCGCGCUCCUCUCCAGAGUAUUGUUCUAGACGUAACGCUGCCGCGCUCCUCUCCAGAGUAUUGUUCUAGACGUAACCCCGCCGCGCUCCUCUCCAGAGUAUUGUUGGAGGCGUAACGCUGCCGCGCUCCUCUCCAGAGUAUUGUUCUAGACGUAACGCUGCCGCGCUCCUCUCCAGAGUAUUGUUGGAGGCGUAACGCUGCAGCGCUCCUCUCCAGAGUAUUGUUCUAGACGUAACGCUGCCGCGCUCCUCUCCAGAGUAUUGUUGGAGGCGUAACGCCUCACCUCAUUGUAGACAAUCACAACUGUUGUCUUGGAGUUUCACCUCAUUGAUCAGUGGUUUCAGUUUGUAUCCUUCAAUUUGACAAGCUGAUCAUGGCGAAAUGGAAAAUACUAUUUCCCGCUGUGUAAACAUUACAAAUCGGCUGAAGAGCUCCUGAUAAAGUUGGGUAGCUGAUAUUCAGAGCUUAAAUAGCCAAGUUGAUUAGUCCUGUUUUCCAAAUGGUGGCCUACCACAUGGAUGGGCGUUCAUAAAGUUCCAUUGAGGCCGACAUGGUAGGCUGCACCCCAGUAAGCACGAGGGAAAGUCUUUUAUUGGUCCUGGCCAGACCUCGUUGUUGUUGUUGGUGUUUUACAGGUGGUAGGCUUAGCACAGAUAGGCAUUCAUACAAUUACAUUUAGGCUACGCUAUAGGCUACGCUAUAUAGGCUCCACUAUAGGCUCCGCUAUAGGCUACGCUAUAGGCUACAAUAUAGGCUACGCUAUAGGCUACGCUAUAGGCUCCGCUAUAGGCAACACUAUAGGCUACGCUAUAGGCAACGCUAUAGGCUACGCUAUAGGCUACGCUAUAGGCAACGCUAUAGGCUAUGCUAUAGGCAACGCUAUCGUCUACGCUAUAGGCUACGCUAUAGGCUACACUAUAGGCUACGCUAUAGGCUACGCUAUAGGCUACGCUGUAGGCAACGCUAUAGGCUACGCUAUAGGCUACGCUAUAGGCUACGCUAUAUAGGCUACGCUAUAGGCUACGCUAUAGGCAACGCUAUAGGCUACGCUAUAGGCUACGCUAUAGGCUACGCUAUAGGCUCCACUAUAGGCUACGCUAUAGGCUACGCUAUAGGCUCCGCUAUAGGCUACGCUGUAGGCAACGCUAUAGGCUACGCUAUAUAGGCUACGCUGUAGGCAACGCUAUAGGCUACAAUAUAGGCUACGCUAUAGGCUACGCUAUAGGCAUUUUUUUACAUUUUACAUUUUAGUCAUUUAGCAGACGCUCUUAUCCAGAGCGACUUACAAAUUGGUGCAUUCACCUAUAAUAUCCAGUGGAACAACCACUUUACAAUAGUGCAUCUAAAUCUUUAUAGGCUACGCUAUAGGCUCCGCUAUAGGCUACGCUAUAGGCUACGCUAUAGGCUCCGCUAUAGGCAACGCUAUAGGCUACGCUAUAGGCAACGCUAUAGGCUACGCUAUAGGCUACGCUAUAGGCUACGCUAUAGGCUCCGCUAUAGGCAACGCUAUAGGCUACGCUAUAGGCUACGCUAUAGGCAACGCUAUAGGCUACGCUAUAGGCAACGCUAUAGGCUACGCUAUAGGCUACGCUAUAGGCAACGCUAUAGGCUACGCUAUAGGCAACGCUAUAGGCUCCGCUAUAGGCAACGCUAUAGGCUACGCUAUAGGCUCCACCUCAGUUAGCAGGGACAGAUGCCUGUGUUUGGUUCAGGUCUGGAUCAUCCCUGAUUUGGCACAAACAGAUGUUACAAAUAUUUAAUUCAUAGACUUUCUUUCAGAACUGAAAAUCAACCUGAUUUCAACUGGUGGUCGUUGGGAAAGGAGGACCAAAAUGCAGCAGGAUUGUGGAUGUUGACGUUUUAUUUACUCCAAAUAUGAACACCAAAAUAACAAACAACGAACUCACGAUCAACACAACAGUCUUGUAAGGCUCACUCACGCUAGACGAGAAACAGGCAAAACAAGAAACAAUCCCCCACAAAUGACAAACACCCCCUAAUAUAUAGGACUCUCAAUCAAAGGCAAAUAGACAACACCUGUCUUCAAUUGAGAGUCCCCACCCCAACUAACCAAACAUAGAACCAGACUCACCAGACCAAACAUAGAAAUACAUGAAUACAAAAACAGUGCCCAAAAACCCCC